ACCUCUAACGCUUCGUCUUGUUCUCUUUCAUGAAAUGACCCUCAAACCAAUAGAGAAGGUCGGCCAUCGCACACUCCUCCAAUAAGAAUCGCUUGCGGCGAGCAUGGUGUCCGGCGACGUCGUCGGUGCGACCAGCUUCACUCCUCUCUCCUUCUUCGCUCGUGAAAGAGAGAGUCAGGGCCUUUCUUCACGUCCAUCCACGGCAGUUGUUGUCUUCAUCAUAUCCAGCACCAACGCACCUCUUCAAUAUCGGCCACCGUAUCUCCUUCAUCCACGACUACACCUUCGCCAAAUUGUUGAAGCCGCCGCCGCCGCUCAGAUCUCGCUAAUUCGAAACCACAUCAUCGACAAACAAUAGUGGCUUUUGACCUAACCGGCAUCGUUGUGAGCUCCCUCCCUUUCUUCCUUCGAUUUUCCGAUCUGGUGAGAGGGGUUUUGCUCCUCCUUCUUCAUUCUUCCCAAAUCUGGUUCCCCUAGAGGAAGAUCUAAUCAGGCUUUGUCUCAUCUCCAUUCGGUACCGGUCAUCGUGCGAAUGGGAAGACUGGUUCAAAUUUUUAUGAUGAAUUCUAACCCAUUGAUUUUUCUUUGUUUAAGGAAGAUGACAAGGUAAAACUUGUGGAGGAGACAGGGUUGCAAUGGAAGCAAAUUAAUAAUUGGUUCAUCAAUCAAAGGAAACGCAACUAGCACAACAAUUUGGGAAGGGCAUACCUUUUAGCUAUUACUGAAGUUUUAGAGUCUUUCCCUCUUACCUUUUCAAUUGCAAAGGGCAUACCUGUCCCAUCCCAGGCAGAAACUGAAAAGGUAAAAAAAGAAGAGAAGAAAGGGCACUUGAGAAAGCACGACGACAUGAAGAAGAAAUGGGGCUUAUGAUGUGACACAGAUUAAUAGAGUAGCCUUUGCUGCCUCCCUGUGCAUUCGGGCAUCUGCAACUUGCAGACCUACCAUGAGUGAGUGUUCAAGUCAAAGGAAAGAUUUAGCCCUGAUUCUCAAAUUCAACGUUACUAAUGUGACAAUUACUGUGCCUGUGGCUGAUAACAUUUUAAUAUUGAUUUCUUUUAUUAGUCACUCUUAUUUUGUUGUCUAACAGGUUACCUACAAGGAUACCAGUGGGUCAUCAAAGGAGAA